GACGAACGCUGGCGGCGUGCUUAACACAUGCAAGUCGAGCGGAGCGGCGAACGGGUGAGUAACGCGUGAGUAACUGCCCCCCUCUCUGGGAUAACAGUUGGAAACGGCUGCUAAUACCGGAAAGGGGGGGAUGACUCGGGUCCUAUCAGCUUGUUGGUGGGGUAUUGGCCUACCAAGGCGACGGCGGGUGGCCAGCCUGAGAGGGCGACCCGCCACAUACGGCUGAGGUACGGCCCAAACUCCUACGGGAGGCAGCAGUGGGGAAUAUUGCACAAAGGGGGAAACCCUGAUGCAGCAACGCCGCGUGCGGGAUGACGGUCUUCGGGGUGUAAACCGCUUUCAGCCAUGACGCGGUAGUGGCAGAAGAAGCACCGGCUAACUACGUGCCAGCAGCCGCGGUAAUAC
rnacentral:rRNA from 1 species